rnacentral:rRNA from 1 species
UACGUAGGGUGCGAGCGUUAAUCGGAAUUACUGGGCGUAAAGCGUGCGCAGGCGGUUUUGUAAGCCAGAUGUGAAAUCCCCGGGCUUAACCUGGGAAUGGCAUUUGGGACUGCAAGGCUGGAGUGCGGCAGAGGAGACGUGGAAUUCCUGGUGUAGCAGUGAAAUGCGUAGAUAUCAGGAGGAACACCGGUGGCGAAGGCGGUUCUCCUGGGCCUUAACCUGGACGCUGG